rnacentral:rRNA from 1 species
AACGAACGCUGGCGGCAUGCCUAACACAUGCAAGUCGAACGAGACCUUCGGGUCUAGUGGCGCACCGGUGCGUAACGCGGGGGAACCUGCCCUUAGGUUCGGAAUAACUCCCCGAAAGAGGUGUUAAUAACGGAUAAUGUCAUCGGACCAAAGAUUUAUCGCCUUUGGAUGGGCGCGGGUUGGAUUAGCUAGUUGGUAGGGUAAUAGCCUACCAAGGCGACGAUGCAUAGCUGGUCUGAGAGGAUGAUCAGCCACACUGGGACUGAGACACGGCCCAGACUCCUACGGGAGGCAGCAGUGGGGAAUAUUGGGCGAUGAGCGAAAGCCUGAUACAGCAAUGCCGCGUGAGUGAUGAAGGCCUUAGGGUUGUAAAGCUCUUUUACCCGGGAUGUUAAUGACAGUACCGGGAGAAUAAGCACCGGCUAACUCCGUG